AUAUGGUAAAGAAAGAUAUAUUUAAUUUCUUGAAACUAAGUAAAGACUAAACUAAAAACUAGGUUAAUUAAAUAUGAGAUGCUAAACAUUUUUGGAGAGGCCGAAAACAGGACUAGCCAUGUACCCUUCGAUUCUGCAACUUAGCUCAAGCGAGUAUGGACCUGAAACUUGAGACCAGUAGUGACCAAUUUGCUUAACCGGCUUCAUACCCCAACCAACUACCCCACAACCACCAUAAAGACCACGAGGAUAC
rnacentral:lncRNA from 1 species